AUACCUACCUGGCAGGGGAGCUACCAUGAUCAUGAAGAUGGUUUUCCCAGGGCGAGACCUAUCCAUUGCACUUCGAAUGUGCUGAUCCCUGCGAUUUCCCCAAAUGUGGGAAAUUUGACUGCAUAAUUUGUGGUAGUGGGAGACUGCAUUCGUGUUCUCCCCUU